GGGGUACGCUUAGAGCCCCACCGUGCGGAAGUGUUAAUAGUGGUACUUUUGGCCGAGUACAACGGUUAGUGAAUC
ncrna:unclassified sequences L13-Bacteroidia ribosomal protein leader